AUGAUGCAUAGCCGAGUUGAGAGACUGAUCGGCCACAUUGGGACUGAGACACGGCCCAAACUCCUACGGGUAGGGCAGCAGUAGGGAAUCUUCCACAAUGGACGCAAGUCUGAUGGAGCAACGCCGCGUGAGUGAAGAAGGUUUCGGCUCGCAAAGCUCUGUUGUUGGUGAAGAAGGACAGGGGUAGUAACUGACCUUUGUUUGACGGUAAUCAAUUAGAAAGUCACGGCUAACUACGUGCCAGCAGCCGCGGUAAAU
rnacentral:rRNA from 1 species